AUGAAUGAAUUUGAGCUUGGUGUCCAGCUACACACAGGAUUAGAUAUUAGUGCAAUAUCUGAUCUGUACACGCUGCUGGAUUUAGUGCUUAGCGCAGCAGAACCUCAGGCUGCAAGCACAAUUUCUCAUAGGAAAUAUCUGUGGGUUACAAUGCAUCAUUGUUUGGCCUUGAUCGGGAACCAAGAUAAUCCUACCACCAGACAGAGCUCAAGUCUGCUGAGAGAUCCCCGAGAGGAAGCGCACAGGGUCCACAGGACCAGGUGCUCAUUGCUCGCUGUGUUAUUCAUCCGAGGACCAGGGCAUAGGACAGAAGAGAUCCAACUACACCCUGUACCAGCUGCAACCCCUGGACAGCCAUCCCACUCAGCUGCUGAGAGGGAGUGCUGAGAGUGUGGAGGCUACGUGGAGGCAAAUAACCACAUCCCCAGUCUGCUGUCAUCCUCAGACAGCAGAAUUUCCGAUGUGCCCUCUGCUUAACAAAGAGAAGUGAUGAAAACAAAGAGGAUGUAAGUAACUUCGUCAUUAACAGGUGUCUUCACAAUAAUUUCUCAGAGUUGUCCUGGGCCUACAGGCAAAAUUUCCAUCGGCUUUUUGGCAAAAUUCUGUCAUGCCACCACUUAAAAAACUUAAAAUGAAUCAGCUGAAGGCAUGAAGACAACAUGAACAAUUCAAGACAUCUUAAAGCCUACAUAAAGGCUCUCAUUCAGGAGCAAAGUGCCUGCAGAGCUCUGAUAGCACUCCCCUUCUGAAUGUCUCCUUUGCUGAAAAAUGUCUAAGAUACCUCAGUCAUAGAAGUUUACUGUCUCUUUUGCCAUGUAGCAGAGCAGUAUUCACACAUUUGUGAGGGACAUCCUCAUCAUUUACACCUAGCUGUCAUAACACAGGCCUGUUUUUAUUACUGGCUUAUGAUAAAGCACUGUGCUGUGAACUGGAAGAUAGGAGGUGUGGUACCUGGUGUGUUCACCACAGCAAGGUGGCUGGGUUGGUGCAUUAAACUGCCGAGCCGAGGGCAGUUUAAACUACCCUUUAGCUGAACUUUAGCUAAACUACCUUUAGCUGAGGGAAUUUGGCAGAGUUUUUGGUUCAUUAUAAGCAGAUCCUAAGCAUC
rnacentral:lncRNA from 1 species